GUGUGGCCACACUUUCGUCGCACCAUGGAAAGAGGAUGUGAUUAAAUGAUGGAAAGAGGAUGUGAUUGAAUGAUUGAUGAGAAAGUGGGGAGAUUGUUUUGACUGGCCAGUCUAUGAAAUUGUUUGUGAUACUCGUUGAUAUUUCUUUUCCAAUGUAAAACUCGAGUUCACUAUGGUUGAGCGGCGACGAGCAGUUGGUGGUGUUGAGCAAUUUAAAAUUGAAGCAUGGUUGGUUAGUUGUGAACUACGAGUGUCGUUGUGUCUCCACACAUGACGUCACUCUUUCUCUUGAACGCUUCCGCUGAGACAUUGUCUUUACUCACCAUUCUUUUAGCGUUGAACCUAAUUAUUUGGAUAACGUCGACCUCUUGGCCCUUUGUUGUUAAAUAUUAAUUAUUGGUCAAACUCUUUAUUAAAA